rnacentral:rRNA from 1 species
AGUGAACGCUGGCGGUAGGCCUAACACAUGCAAGUCGAACGGCAGCACAGUAAGAGCUUGCUCUUACGGGUGGCGAGUGGCGGACGGGUGAGGAAUACAUCGGAAUCUACUUUUUCGUGGGGGAUAACGUAGGGAAACUUACGCUAAUACCGCAUACGACCUACGGGUGAAAGCAGGGGAUCUUCGGACCUUGCGCGAUUGAAUGAGCCGAUGUCGGAUUAGCUAGUUGGCGGGGUAAAGGCCCACCAAGGCGACGAUCCGUAGCUGGUCUGAGAGGAUGAUCAGCCGCACUGGAACUGAGACACGGUCCAGACUCCUACGGGAGGCAGCAGUGGGGAAUAUUGGACAAUGGGCGCAAGCCUGAUCCAGCCAUACCGCGUGGGUGAAGAAGGCCUUCGGGUUGUAAAGCCCUUUUGUUGGGAAAGAAAAGCAGCAGGUUAAUACCCCGCUGUCCUGACGGUACCCAAAGAAUAAGCACCGGCUAACUUCGUG